rnacentral:rRNA from 1 species
GUCGAGCGGACAGAAGGGAGCUUGCUCCCGGAUGUUAGCGGCGGACGGUUGAGUAACACGUGGGUAACCUGCCUGUAAGACUGGGAUAACUCCGGGAAACCGGAGCUAAUACCGGAUAGUUCCUUGAACCGCAUGGUUCAAGGAUGAAAGACGGUUUCGGCUGUCACUUACAGAUGGACCCGCGGCGCAUUAGCUAGUUGGUGGGGUAAUGGCUCACCAAGGCGACGAUGCGUAGCCGACCUGAGAGGGUGAUCGGCCACACUGGGACUGAGACACGGCCCAGACUCCUACGGGAGGCAGCAGUAGGGAAUCUUCCGCAAUGGACGAAAGUCUGACGGAGCAACGCCGCGUGAGUGAUGAAGGUUUUCGGAUCGUAAAGCUCUGUUGUUAGGGAAGAACAAGUGCGAGAGUAACUGCUCGCACCUUGACGGUACCUAACCAGAAAGCCACGGCUAACUACGUGCCAGCAGCCGCGGUAAUACGUAGGUGGCAAGCGUUGUCCGGAAUUAUUGGGCGUAAAGGGCUCGCAGGCGGUUUCUUAAGUCUGAUGUGAAAGCCCCCGGCUCAACCGGGGAGGGUCAUUGGAAACUGGGAAACUUGAGUGCAGAAGAGGAGAGUGGAAUUCCACGUGUAGCGGUGAAAUGCGUAGAGAUGUGGAGGAACACCAGUGGCGAAGGCGACUCUCUGGUCUGUAACUGACGCUGAGGAGCGAAAGCGUGGGGAGCGAACAGGAUUAGAUACCCUGGUAGUCCACGCCGUAAACGAUGAGUGCUAAGUGUUAGGGGGUUUCCGCCCCUUAGUGCUGCAGCUAACGCAUUAAGCACUCCGCCUGGGGAGUACGGUCGCAAGACUGAAACUCAAAGGAAUUGACGGGGGCCCGCACAAGCGGUGGAGCAUGUGGUUUAAUUCGAAGCAACGCGAAGAACCUUACCAGGUCUUGACAUCCUCUGACAACCCUAGAGAUAGGGCUUUCCCUUCGGGGACAGAGUGACAGGUGGUGCAUGGUUGUCGUCAGCUCGUGUCGUGAGAUGUUGGGUUAAGUCCCGCAACGAGCGCAACCCUUGAUCUUAGUUGCCAGCAUUCAGUUGGGCACUCUAAGGUGACUGCCGGUGACAAACCGGAGGAAGGUGGGGAUGACGUCAAAUCAUCAUGCCCCUUAUGACCUGGGCUACACACGUGCUACAAUGGACAGAACAAAGGGCUGCAAGACCGCAAGGUUUAGCCAAUCCCAUAAAUCUGUUCUCAGUUCGGAUCGCAGUCUGCAACUCGACUGCGUGAAGCUGGAAUCGCUAGUAAUCGCGGAUCAGCAUGCCGCGGUGAAUACGUUCCCGGGCCUUGUACACACCGCCCGUCACACAACGAGAGUUUGCAACACCCGAAGUCGGUGAGGUAACCUUUAUGGAGCCAGCC